rnacentral:rRNA from 1 species
GAUUAUUGGGCCUAAGCAUCCGUAGCCUGUUCUACAAGUCCUCCGUUAAAUCCACCUGCUCAACAGAUGGGCUGCGGGGGAUACUAUAGGGCUAGGAGGCGGGAGAGGCAAACGGUACUCAGUGGGUAGGGGUAAAAUCCAUUGAUCUACUGAAGACCACCAGUGGCGAAGGCGGUUUGCCAGAACGCGCUCGACGGUGAGGGAUGAAAGCUGGGGGAGCAAACCGGAUUAGAUACCCGGGUAGUCCCAGCUGUAAACGAUGCAGACUCGGUGAUGGGUUGGCUUCGCGCCAACCCAGUGCCGCAGGGAAGCCGUUAAGUCUGCCGCCUGGGGAGUACGGUCGCAAGACUGAAACUUAAACGAAUUGGCGGGGGAGCACA